UAUUAUUUUAUAAUCAUUAUAUAUAUGAAGUACCUUGUAUUGCAAUUAUUAGACUCAGUUGAUACAAGUAUCCAGAUCAGAACUUGAAGUACUAAUAUGGUUUAAAGCUGAGAAGCUAAGGGGUGUACAUAAAUUGUUUUUACCAUUGUGCUUAUCAUCACAUUGGGUUCUGUUCUAUGUUGAUAUCAAGGAAAAAACGUUUUCAUGUUUGGAUCCAGAUCCAUCUUCCCUAGUACUAUCUUACGAUUUCGAAAACCAUGUUAAAGUAUUAUUACAAUGGCUCACAAGCUUUUUAAUCCUGAAGUUAGGUUAUAGUGAUGCAAAUGAAUGGCCAUUUGGAGUGCAUGAUAAUAUCCCAAAGCAAAAAAACUUUGCAACCUUUUAUUUACUUGUUAUCUUACAAAUUUGUCUUUUUUCUUUUGUAUUGUAAUGUAAAGCUUGGUUGAUUGUGGGGUAUUUGUGAUGAAA